UACGUAGGCAGCAAGCGUUGUUCGGAAUUACUGGGCGUAAAGAGUACGUAGGUGGUUUGCCAAGUCCGAUGUGAAAUCUCCUGGCUUAACUGGGAGGGUGCGUUAGAUACUGGCAGGCUAGAGUCCGGAAGAGGAAAGUGGAAUUCCUGGGUGUAGCGGUGAAAUGCGCAGAUAUCAGGAAGAACACCAAUGGCGAAAGCAGCUUUCUGGGACGGUACUGACGCUGGAGACGCGAAAAGCGUGGGGGAGCGAAACAGGG
rnacentral:rRNA from 1 species